AUGCACUGGGACAUCCAAUGACUCGUGUUGAGUGUGCUCAUCUUUGUCCGCUUAGCGCGGAGGCUUCAUCUUCACUCACAGGGUUGGCAAACAUUCACGUCAUGUCCUCCUUUGCCCCUCAUCUGAAGCAGUAAGCGGCAGAUUAAAAAUCUGAUCCUCUGCGCUCUGAACAUCGUGCUCAGACUUGACAUCAGACGUGAGAACAUAUCUCAACACCCCAACCCUCAAAAGACAGCCAGUAUGCUAAUAUUAAAUGACAUUUGCGCACAACAAAUGGGAAGACGUACGAGCGUUAUCUGAUAACUUUAUUAUCAAGUUAAAAAAAGACAAUGAAUUACAAUAUGUACAGAAUAUCCGGAGAUAACAUGGAAUCAAAUUGUAAACAAUCAUCCUAGGCAACGAUCACAACCCACCAUAUCAGGGAUUUAAGGGGAAAAACGGCAUAGGACUGAUUCUAGUGUCAACCUAAAAAA